GCUCACUGGCCCUUUCAUUCCCUCUCUCCCUCAUUCCCUCUCUCCCUCCUCUCCAGCACUGGUUGUACCAUCUCCGACUUAAAGAGCUACUCUUCUCUGUUGUUUAUUGACUGAGAUUUUCCCCAAAUAACCCUGCAAAGGCCAAGAAAUUACUCCCUAAAGGAAGGUAUCCCAAAGUUUAAAGAUUGUCUCAUCUCAGCUCUAAGACCAGUGUGGGGAGCCGGACACAGAAUCAGGAUCUAUAGGUCCUCACAGGUGUUGGGAAUAUAGUGGUACCAGCAACAGCACUACCGGCAACUAUGACCAAGAGCAACGGGGAGAACCCGCAGGCCCGAAGCCGAGUCAGACAGAUCCGCGAUGGCCUCCAGUCCCGUUCCCUGAAGGCUGUGCAGAGGGUGGAGAGUGUCACUAAGGAUGACGUCAAGGGUUUCUUCCGCAGAAACGCCUUUGUGAUCUUCACUGUCGCUGCGGUCAUCAUCGGUAUAGGGCUGGGAUUUGCACUGCGGCCGUACAAGAUGACCUACCGCGAGGUGAAGUAUUUCUCAUUUCCUGGAGAGCUGCUGAUGAGGAUGCUGCAGAUGCUGGUGCUUCCCUUGCUGGUGUCCAGUCUCAUCACAGGCAUUGCAGCAUUGGACAGCCGUGCCUCUGGGAAGAUGGGUAUGCGGGCAGUGGUGUACUACAUGACCACCACAGUCAUCGCAGUCUUCAUCGGCAUCGUCAUGGUGCUCAUCAUCCACCCUGGGAAGGGCUCCAAGGACGAAUUCAAAAAUCAGCAGAAGAUCGAGCAGGUCAGCCCUGCUGACGCUUUCCUGGACCUCAUCAGAAACAUGUUCCCUCCAAACAUUGUGCAAGCUUGCACACAGCAGUUUAAAACGCAGUACGGAAAGAGAGUGGUCCAUGUGAAGAUAACGGUGAAUGAUACCCUCUUCGUCUUGAACGGGACCCAGGGGCAGCAUAUCAUGCGGGAGGAGGUGAUCCCCAUCCCGGGGCAGGUGAACGGGGUCAAUGCCCUGGGUCUGGUCGUGUUCUCCAUAUGCUUCGGUCUCAUCAUUGGCAGCAUGAAGGAGCAGGGAAAGCCCCUCAAGGACUUCUUUGUCUGUCUCAACGAGGCUAUCAUGAGACUGGUGGCCAUUAUCAUGUGGUAUGCACCCGUUGGUAUCCUGUUUCUCAUCGCUGGGAAGAUAGUGGAGAUGGAUGACAUCACAGAAACGGGCGGUCAGUUGGGCAUGUACACAAUAACAGUCAUCAUUGGCCUGUCUAUCCAUGCCUUCCUGGUACUGCCCACACUCUACUUUGUGAUCACACGGAAGAGUCCCUUUGUCUUCAUCUGUGGACUCCUACAGGCUCUCAUCACCGCGUUGGGGACCUCAUCUAGCUCAGCCACGUUGCCCAUCACCUUUAAGUGUCUGGAGGAGAACAAUGGGAUAGAUAAGAGAGUGACACGCUUCGUGCUGCCAGUGGGCGCCACCAUCAACAUGGACGGCACCGCCUUGUACGAAGCUAUCGCGGCUCUCUUUAUAGCCCAGGUCAACAACAUGGACAUGAACUUUGGACAGAUCCUCACUAUAAGCAUCACGGCCACCGCAGCAAGUAUCGGUGCAGCUGGGAUACCACAGGCUGGACUGGUCACCAUGGUGAUUGUGCUGACCUCUGUUGGACUGCCCACUGAUGACAUCACCCUCAUCAUUGCAGUGGAUUGGUUCCUGUGAGUACAGUCUAUUUUCUGUAACAAUUAUUUAUAGUUUGACUGAUAUGAUCAUCUUCUAAAGAAGUUUGGAUAGUUACUGUGUGGACAGAGUCAGACACAGGGAUGACAUUUUAGGAUUUUGGGUCCUGACUAGCUGGACUAGUAGACUGCAGUUUCUAACCAGCCCAUGUGUUUUUCCAUUAGCCAAGGGUCCAAAAUCUAUGCCAUGCCAUAUUUAAGAAGACAGAUUUCGGGCUAUAUUUUAAUAUAUGUUCUACUAGCCUGGUCUGAAAACUAGCCAGUGACUAACGGGUUAGCUUAAUUUCCAUCUCUGGACAGAAACCAAAGCCUUAGGGAAGACUCAGUCGGUAUAGGUAGUGAGAUACUCCCUUCACAUUCCAUUCUCCCCAAUCCAUCUGUUUCUGAUUCUAUCGACAUGUGAUUCCUCUAAAGAUCUCAUGCAUGGGAGUGGCUGAGCGUUUCCACUUUUCUUUUCUGAGUUUAUUUAAACAUACCCAUUGUGUUCAACGAUAAUCAUAAUAUUGUUGUAUUAUAUAUUUUGUAUUGUAGAUAUGUAGUGGUGUAAUAAUUUUACAUUAUGUAGUGUUUUAUAUUUUGUUUUAUAUGUAAUGUACGUGCUUUAAUAUAUUUCGACCCCAGGAAGUGUAGCUGCUGCCUUGACAGGAACUAAUGGACAUCCCUAAUAAACCCCAGGUAGAAUAGCUGCUGCCUUGACAGGAACUAAUGGACAUCCCUAAUAAACCCCAGGUAGAAUAGCUGCUGCCUUGACAGGAACUAAUGGACAUCCCUAAUAAACCCCAGGUAGAAUAGCUGCUGCCUUGGCAGGAACUAAUGGACAUCCCUAAUAAACCCCAGGUAGAAUAGCUGCUGCCUUGGCAGGAACUAAUGGACAUCCCUAAUAAACCCCAGGUAGAAUAGCUGCUGCCUUGGCAGGAACUAAUGGACAUCCCUAAUAAACCCCAGGUAGAAUAGCUGCUGCCUUGACAGGAACUAAUGGACAUCCCUAAUAAACCCCAGGAAGUGUAGCUGCUGCCUUGACAGGAACUAAUGGACAUCCCUAAUAAACCCCAGGUAGAAUAGCUGCUGCCUUGGCAGGAACUAAUGGACAUCCCUAAUAAACCCCAGGUAGAAUAGCUGCUGCCUUGACAGGAACUAAUGGACAUCCCUAAUAAACCCCAGGUAGAAUAGCUGCUGCCUUGACAGGAACUAAUGGACAUCCCUAAUAAACCCCAGGUAGAAUAGCUGCUGCCUUGACAGGAACUAAUGGACAUCCCUAAUAAACCCCAGGUAGAAUAGCUGCUGCCUUGACAGGAACUAAUGGACAUCCCUAAUAAACCCCAGGUAGAAUAGCUGCUGCCUUGACAGGAACUAAUGGACAUCCCUAAUAAACCCCAGGUAGAAUAGCUGCUGCCUUGACAGGAACUAAUGGACAUCCCUAAUAAACCCCAGGUAGAAUAGCUGCUGCCUUGACAGGAACUAAUGGACAUCCCUGAUAAACCCCAGGUAGAAUAGCUGCUGCUUUGACAGGAACUAAUGGAUAUCCCUGAUAAACCCCAGGUAGAAUAGCUGCUGCCUUGGCAGGAACUAAUGGACAUCCCUAAUAAACCCCAGGUAGAAUAGCUGCUGCCUUGACAGGAACUAAUGGACAUCCCUAAUAAAUCCCAGGUAGAAUAGCUGCUGCCUUGACAGGAACUAAUGGACAUCCCUGAUAAACCCCAGGUAGAAUAGCUGCUGCCUUGACAGGAACUAAUGGACAUCCCUAAUAAACCCCAGGUAGAAUAGCUGCUGCCUUGGCAGGAACUAAUGGACAUCCCUAAUAAACCCCAGGUAGAAUAGCUGAUGCCAUGGCAGGACGUAAUGGGCAUACCUAAUAAAUCCUAUUAAAUACAAAUUAUGUCCACAAGUAUGUGAAAUUAUACACCUGGUUUUAGUUUUCCAAACCUCCAAUGGAAAAUGAACUGUUUUUUUUCUCUCUCUAAGACAUAGGCUGGGUAGUGCAUGCAUGCCUUUGCCAAAUGUCACACCAAAGUGUUGCCUCUGUGCAAACCUUGCCUUUUCUUUGGGGAUAAUUUUUUUUAAAGAAAAUGAGUCCCUCGUAGGAAAGCUGAAAGAGUAAUAUUCUGAGUGUUACAUUCCCCUUCUGUACGGUAUAUUAUCUCUAACAACUGGACUCCCUCCAUUUUAUACAGAGACAGGUUGCGUACCACCACUAACGUGCUGGGAGACUCGAUUGGCACAGGUAUUGUUGAGUAUCUGUCUCGUCAUGAGUUACAAUCCAAGGAUGCGGAGAUGGGGAACUCUGUGGUGGAGGAGAAAGACAAGAAAUCAUACCAGCUCAUCGCCCACGAGAACGAGCAUGAAAACGAGAAGCCUCCAGUCAGUGAGACCAAGAUGUAGCACCAAACAGUUUGACCACUGUGGUGUUUUUAAUCCCAUGGUAAAGGGAAGCAACCCAUAUCAAUCCUCAAAACACAACAAACAAAAAAUGAUAGUGUUUGUUUAGACCAAGAAGCUGAACCAAGAGUAUGUACAGGAUGUAUUUGAUUUUAUCAAGAGUUCUGCAGCCGUUCGUGCUGAUUAGAUUUCAUUGAAUAACUUAUUGAUAUGGAUCGAAUCAAGAAGAUACAGUGGGGUCUGAAAUCAUUAACACCGUUGAUAAAAAUCAACAAAAAUGACCGUAUCAAAUAAGUAAUUCAAUUACUGAGUUAUAUUGUAUGCACAAAAAAAUGAAAGUAAAAUUAUUUUAUACUUAUAGAAUUGUGCGGGGAAAAAAAUAGAUUUUGUUUAACAAGUCGUGUAUUCUUUUUUCAAAAAAGUAAGGGUCAAAAUAAUUGACACCCCUGUUUUCAAUACCUUGUGAGGAUAACUACACUGAGCCUUUUGAUAAAAUAUUUUAUGAGUUGGAGAACACAUUGGGAGGGAUCUUGCGCUUAUGGACUGACAUGAAAACACCUGUGGUUUGAAUUGAAGAGGGUAGGCCAUAAGUGCAGACAAAGGAUAUCAAGGAUCUGGAAAUAUUCUGUAUGGAGGAAUGGUCGAAGAUCCCAAUGUGUUCUCCAAUCUUAUAACACAUUUUUAGAAAAAGGCUCAGUGUCAUUAUUUUCGCAAGGGGAUGUAAAAAAAAAAGAAGAUAUAUAUAUAUCACUCGUUAAACAAUAUCCGAUUUCUCUGAGCAAUUGUAUAAGUACAAAAUAAUAUAAUUUUUAAAAGAAAUGGAGCAUACAACAUAGCUCAGUAUUUUAAUGAUUUUAAACAGUAUUUUUUCUCAUCUUUAACAGUGGUGGAAUAGGUACUCAAUUGUCAUACUUGAGUAAAAGUAAAGAUACCUUCGAAGAAAAUGACUCAAGUAAAAGUGAGAGUCACCCAGUAAAAUAAUACUUGAGUAAAAGUCUACAAGUAUUUGGUUUAUAAUAUACUUAAGUAUCGAAAGUAAAAGGAAUUGCUUAAAUAUAGUUAAGUAUCAAAAGUAAAAGUAUGGCUCAAAUCCCCGAGCUGACAAGGUACAAAUCUGUCGUUCUGCCCCUGAACAAGGCAGUUAAACCCACUGUUCCUAGGCCGUCAUUGAAAAUAAGAAUUUGUUCUUAACUGACUUGCCUAGUUAAAUAAAGGUAAAAUAAAAAAUAAAAAUAAACCAGUUCACAGUCCUUACAUUAAGAAAUCCAAACAGCACAAUUGAUUUUUUAUUUUUUUAUUGACGGAUCGCCAGGGGCACACUCAGACGUAAUUUACAAACGAAGCGCUUGUGUUUAGUGAGUCCGCCAGAUCAGAGGCAGUACGGAUCACCAGGGAUGUUCUCUUGAUAAGUGUGUGAAUUGGACCAUUUUCCUGUCAAAAUGUAACGAGUACUUUUGGGUGUCAGGGAAAAUGUAUGGAGUAAAAAGUACAUUAUUUUCUUUAGCAAUGUAGUGAAGUAAAAGGAGGCAAAAAUAUAAAUAGUAAUGUACAGAUUCCCCCCAAAAACGACUUAAAUAGUACUUUAAAGUAUUUUUACUUAAGUACUUUACACCACUGAUCUUUAUGGGUGUCAACCAUUUCGGACCCUACUGUAAAUCAAUGGUUUUAAGUGCAUAGUAUGAAUUAAAUACAUAAAAUGUUGAACUUCUGAAAUAGAUACCCAGCAAACAAUAAUGAGUCAUUAGGACAUCCCCAGGAUGUCACAAAAUGGUCGCCUAAAGUUGUCAGGACGUUGUGUCAUGGUCCCUCCUGGAGGUUUUUGUCUAGUUUCCUGUUCGUCCCCUAAAGGUCGCAAAGAAAUGUUCUCCCCUGUAGUUUCCUUACACAUCAUCCCCUGAUCAGCAUAUCCUAAAUCCAGAGUUUGUGAGUUAGAAAGGAAGUUGGGGUCAUAUAGUCAGUAAGAAGUGAUCAUGUCAAAUGUAAUCAUUGAUUAUAGAUUUUUACACUAUUUUAGAUGAACAGCCUACCACUUACCUGAAAACCGCCAUAUCGUUAUAUUACUUAUAACGGUUUAUGACACAUGGGACCAUCACGUGACAAAAACUUCCAGGGGACCAUGACACAACAUCCCAAGAAUGUUCAGGGGACCUUCAGGCUACCAUGACACAACGUCCUAAAAACGUCCUCAGGACAAACUAGGAACUAUAAAAAGGUCCCCCAGAGAAUGUUCCCUUGGGACCAUCCCAAACCCUUAAGGAACCUAACUGGGAACAGAGCUGAUUGUCCUCAGUACAUCCCCUGUUUUCUGGGUAGGGAAUAACUAAGAGUCCCUGAAACUUUUCUAUAAGAUGCCUUUACCAUACCCUUUUAUGGUGUUUAAAGUUCAACAGUUUGACAGAGAUGAUUUAUUUUUGAUAAGUCAGAUGUGAAAUUAUGUGGUCUUUCAUUCUUGCUUUUGUCAUUAUUUUUUUUUACGGCUGACAAACCAGAAUAGGUUGCCAAACCCUUUGCAUCAGAGCUUUUUAGAUUGAGGUUUUUCUUUGUAAAACUGCCAAAAUAUUAGUUUCAACUUGAGGUGGGAGUUGAACAGUAUGACAUUUUCACAUAAUCAUAAUCGUACCAAAAAUAUAAACAAUUUGUGUAUGUUACAAUUUUGGUCAUGCCUUUUUGUGUAAAGACAUUACAGGGAUCCCUAUUACAGUUGAACAAGUUUCAUGAUUUGAUACUGAAACCCUUGAUGUCUAAGGGCUCUAUUUUAACAAACGUAAAUGCAAUGAGCCCAAUAGCUGGCGGUGACAUGAAAGGGCUGGGUUUUGAUGAAUGAUCCAGUUGUAGUGUGUCGAGACUUGGCCCCUCACUGGCCAAUCAGAACAUGCUCCAUGGUUGCUUCAAGUUGUUGCAUUUACCGUUUUUUAUGUAUUGUGUUGUCGUCAACUCGAAUUCGAAUGUUAGUCCCAUUAUAACCUAGUUCCUUAAAUAGCCUGCCCCCAUAUUAGCUAAAUAUGUUGAACAUGUUUGCAGUCCACAUUGAUCUAGUUGCAUUUCUUCAAUAUGGAAAUACAUUGUUAACAUAGGCUGUAGCGUUCUCACUAAAAUAAGGGCGAGGCGUACUGUUUAUUUCAUGCUGGACAUGGACAUGCAAAACGUAGUCAAUAAGUGAUAUUACAUUCCCUAGGAUAUUGAUAUAGCCAAAGAAGACAGUAUAUCAUUCUAAUCAAAUUCUAAUACAAAUGGAACCAUAACUUGUUUUAAAUAGGCUAUGUUUAAAUACAGUUACAGGCACCGCAAUUGCUGCGUUGGGCGUAUAAUACAGACAAGGCAAUUUAGACUAUGGAGGGUUUUACGCGCAUCCAAACGGGAUAAAGAUCCAUUAUGAAGAGAAAAGUGUCAUGUCCGCUCACCGUUAUACUGCUCGCAAAUGUAAUGUUCUGUAAACAUUAUGGAACCAUAUCACAGAUCAUAUUUGCACUUCUCCAGAAAUAGCAGAUUAAAUUGCAUUGCAUUUGAGCCUUAAACCAACCUCACCAUAAACACAUGGAGGGUGAAUCUCAAUAAUACGUUAAUCAAGUUAAUCAAACGUUAAACAACGUUAAACAACACGUUAAACAUGUUUUUCAAUCAAUAUUUCUAAAUAUGAUCGGGUCAGAAGCAUGAUAUCAUAAAUCGCUUCUUUCGUUCCAUGGUACUGUGUGCACACGCAGGCCUAAAUGUCUUCACGCAUAACAUUUGCACAUCUACAGUAAACGAAAUACUAGAUUCCUGUCAAUUGUAUCGUUCCCUGUGUGCGAGGUAGAUUCUCCAAAAAUCGCCCAUUGACAUAACAUUAUAGAAGGACUGAAUCAUUUGGAGGAGCGCAUCUUCGGCAAUAGGAGAAGGGAUGGAUAGCCCAUUUGAACAAGCGAAAUUCAGGUAUCCUAUUUCAAGCACCUUUAAUCAUAAGCUACUUGGAUAAUGUCCAGGAUAAAAAGCAGCACCAAUGUGAUCCUGCUAAACCAGCCUUGAUUAAAGGGAGGAUAGGUUGUGCUUGGUUUUCUAGCAAAUGAAACGAAAUGGGGGGGGGGACCAAUCGUUUUUUUAUGUUUAUAAAUAUGAGAUUCACCAGCACAAAAGGCACAGCUUUCCUUCUAUGGGCACUGUGCGUCAUGGCAGGAUAGGCUGCACUUCCUCUCUCAACAUCCAUUCCAUUAUCAACUCUGUUACAUGUUAACACCUGCUUUUUGUGGGUCUUAAAACGUCCCUUUAGAACUGUUAAAAUUGUCACUUGCGCUCGUUUUUAAGGACACACAUCAAAUAUUGGCACCCCCCCCACCACCACCACCACCUCAGCGCCAUCGAGCUGAUUUUAAACAGCUAAAUUGCCAAACCUGGCAUGAGGCCUGGAAAAUGCCAGUGCACCAGUUUUUACACGAGGAAAUUGCAAACUAACGUGCCUUUGACACUCGCGCCUCCUUAGAGCCAGCUGUAAAUAGAGCACUAAAGGUAAUUGGUACUUUUCUGCUUUUAAACUUUUCAGUCUAUUAUUCUAAUCGAGAUCCUAUUAAAUUGUACUUCCCAGUUCUAUCUAGAAUCUAGAAUGUAGAAUUGAGUGUGGUUGUUAUGUGACAUACCCAAAAGGUGCGACAAAUACAACUUGAAUUAACAUAAAAAUUGAAUGAACUAAUAGAACAUGUAAUCACGCUCUAAAACUCAUAUAGUGAGAAUUUUAUAUUUCUUCUCAAUGUCUUUGAUAGAAAUUGUUUUGUAUAGAAAAAAAGGUUUUGAUAUAUGUAUAUAUAGAAUUUGAAGAGUAAAAGAUGACUUUAGGAGGAUGAUGGCUGUGAAGUUUCUGUAAAGACAUUCCUUUGAGAACUAGAAGAACCCCCUAGCUAUGAAGAACCCCCUAGCUAUUAAGAACCAACCCCCUAGCUAUUAAGAACCUCCUUAGCUAUUAAGAACCCCCCUAGCUAUUAAAUACCCCCUAGCUAUGAAGAAUCUCCCUAGCUAUUAAGAGCCUCCCUAACUAUUAAGAACCUCUCUAGCUAUUAAAUAACUCCCUGUGUGUCCCAAAUGGCACCCCAGUCCAUAUAUACGUAGUAACCUAUUUAUAUUACACUAUUUUUGGCCAGAGCCCAAUGGGCCCUGGUCAAAAGUAGUGCACUACAUAGGGAAUAGUGUGUCAUUUAGGAACCAUUCCCAAAUGCCAUAUCUAUCUACACCGGCUAAUAAGUGGAAGCUAUGUGAAACAAACUUUUGAAAAGAUUGAACGAGUUUCAUACAAUUGAUUUUGGUGUCAUGUUUGAUAGGUUUGUUUGUUAGCGCCUCGAAUAAUUAACGACAAACAUAAAAAUCCCCCCCAAAAAACUGAAAGGAAAUGUAGAUUUUUAUUUGUAUAGUUUUUAAUAAAACAUGGACCUUAAAA